UACGGAGGGGGCGAGCGUUGUCCGGAUUCAUUGGGCGUAAAGCGCGCGUAGGCGGCUUCGUAAGUCGGCCGUGAAAUCUCCAGGCUUAACCUGGAGGGGUCGGGCGAGACUGCGGAGCUCGAGGUGGGCAGAGGGCAGUGGAAUUCCGGGUGUAGUGGUGGAAUGCGUAGAGAUCCGGAGGAACACCAGUGGCGAAGGCGGCUGCCUGGGCCUGGCCUGACGCUGAGGCGCGAAGGCGUGGGGAGCGAUCCGG
rnacentral:rRNA from 1 species